UGAUCCAGCUGCAGUCUACUCAGCAGUGAGAGGAGCAGGAGACGUCAGUUAUGGACAAAUAGUCAUCAAAGACAUCAAAUCAAACAGGACGAGAGAGAGUGAUCCAGCUGCAGUCUACUCAGCAGUGAGAGGAGCAGGAGACGUCAGUUAUGGACAAAUAGUCAUCAGA